CCUGAAAGAGUGGAGGGUUUUUCUGGGUUUUCCAUUUUUUAUUUUUACAGACAUGAAAAAUGGGAAGUUUCUAUACAAGCUUUUUCACAUUCCUUUAUUGUAUUUUAUUCAAUUUUAUUUUAUUUUAAUAUAUGAUGUGGAUUGGGUGUCUGGAAGUUUGUGAAAAGCCCUUAUAAGAAGGGCCCAUAAUCCUGUUUUGAAUAUUGAGUAUUGAUUUUUUGGGUUUUAGGGAGAGGGAAAGAGAGAAGAAAGAGAGGAAAAGGAAAAAGAGAUACAAUGGAAGGAAUGGCUUCUGUAUGGGGUUAUCAACAGAGUGUCGAGGAGUUGCAACAUACGCUUCUUUACACCAAGUUGGAAUUAGAAUCAACAGUGAUGGCCGCAAAGGAAGAGAAGAGAAGAAACGAAGAGCAUGUGAACCAGUUACUUAAGCUCUUGAAUGUAGCCUUCCAAGAACGAGACGAAGCAAAGAAUCAAUUGCAGAGAUUGCUUAACAAGAUAAUGCAAUCGAGCUCUAGAGAACCCAGCUGCAUUCUUCCGAUUCUUCAACCCGAGAGCCCGUCACCGAUCAUACCAACCAAAGGAAAUUCGAGCAUCACGGAAUCUGACAGCUUAUCUGAGACUUACAAUCGUCAAUCCCAUGUUUCGUCCCCUGUAGACUCCUUUUUCGAUGGGGUUUCCUCGAACCCCUCACCCGACCUUUCGAACAUAAACGUGGCCGACUCAAGUAAUAUAGGAUUGCCAAAUCACCCAUUACUCCCAGAAUAUAAUGGGACAUCAUCUAUGGGAAUUAUCUCGUCUGAAAUGUCUCAGAUUGAUCCAGCUUCUGCAAUUAUCGAUCAGCUCGCAAUGAAGAAACCAUUGCCCAAGAAAGGGAAGUUGUUGCAGGCUGUAAUGGAAGCCGGCCCACUGCUGCAGACGCUUCUCGUGGCUGGACCGCUUCCUCAAUGGCGCAAUCCGCCACCGGUGCAAUCAUUUCAAAUCCCACCCGUUUCAAUCAAAGGCCCUGAACCAACACCUAUUCUUCAGAAACCAAUCAUAAAUCCUACUUUUCCUGUUCAAAGUUCUACUUCCAUGUCUUGUCAUGAAAAUCCAAACCGUGCAUCUCAGGUGCAUUCUACGGCUAUGUUGAACUUUUCAAGCGCGGUGGGCCCGUGCAUGAAGAAGAGAGCAUUCUUACCUUCUAUUGGUGGUAAUGGUUUAUUGGUUGAUCAAAGCUUGACUGGUAAAUGUCAAAGGAUUCAAUGACGACAUUAUAUACACGCAUUUGUGGCCUAAUCAGAAGCAUUGAAUUGCAUUGCAUUGCAUUAAUGUCAUCGUCGGGCGUCGGUGGAGAGUUACCUACUUUUGGGAGCAAGUCCAAACUCAAUUUGGGGAAUCCAUUCCGGAAGGUCUGGAAUGUUAUUUGUGCUGUCAUCGUCGAUGAUGGACUGUGUAGAAGCCUCUUGCAGCUGAAGAGCAUACUCCAAGUUCCACAGCACAUCUCCCAUUGUCGGCCUUUCG